UACGAAGGGGGCUAGCGUUGCUCGGAGUUACUGGGCGUAAAGGGCGCGUAGGCGGACAGUUUAGUCAGAGGUGAAAGCCCAGGGCUCAACCCUGGAAUUGCCUUUGAUACUGGCUGUCUUGAGUACGGGAGAGGUGUGUGGAACUCCGAGUGUAGAGGUGAAAUUCGUAGAUAUCAUUUGGAACGCCAAUGGUGAAAACAGGUAGCUGGGGACAUGCUGACGCUGAGACACGAAAGCCAGGGGAGCAAACGGG
rnacentral:rRNA from 1 species